rnacentral:rRNA from 1 species
GGAGGGUGCAAGCAUUAAUCGGGAUUUAUUGGGGCGUAUAGGGGGGCGUAGGCGGCUAGGUAAGUCAGAUGUGAAAUUCCGUGGGCUCAACCACGGAGCUGCAUCUGAAACUACUUAGCUAGAGGAUAGGCGGAGAAAACGGAAUUCCACGUGUAGCGGUGAAAUGCGUAGAUAUGUGGAAGAACACCGGUGGCGAAAGCAGUUUUCUAGCUUAUUCCUGACGCUCAGGCCCGAAAGCAAGGGGAGCAAACAGGAUUAGAUACCCUGGUAGUCCUUGCCGUAAACUAUGCAUACUAGAUGUAGCUGGUCUCAACCCCGGUUGUGUCGAAGCUAACGCGUUAAGUAUGCCGCCUGGGGAGUACACUCGCAAGGGUG